CAAUAAAUCUCUCAUUUCUCUCUCUAUUUCUCACUCACAACCAAAACUUCUUUAUCUCUCACUCACAUAACCACCAGUUCAUCAUAUCUCCUUAUCUCUUUGUGCAUCAGUUUACUUCAUAAAUGGUUCAUUGUUUUGGCCAACUAUUGUUAUUACUUUUGCGAUUUCUAUCAUAGCAAGACAUCAUUUAUCAUUAACUAAUGUUAAUGGUAAAUGGCAUACAAAUCAACUGUGAUUUUCUUGAUUAAAUAUACUUACAUUAUCAAUGCAUCAUUGGUUCACUACAAAAAUCUCCUGCAACAAGUUUCUGACAGCCGGACUUAAUUGCUCUCGGAGUUGACAUCAUAGCAAGUUGGUCUCCGAUUUCCAUUGAAGGAAGAAAGUUUGGAUUUAACAUUGUGUCUGGAACAUCAAUGGCAUGUCCACAUGUAUCUGAUACAGCAGGAUACAUCAACUUCUUCCGUCAUACUUGUUCAACUUGAUCAGCGGUUCCUAUCUGAUCAUUGAUGACAACAGCCAAACAAUUGAGUUCGACAAAUAAUCAAGAUGCUGAAUUUGCUUAUGGAGCAGGUCAAAUUGAUCCAGUGAAAGUUCUAAAUCCCGACUUAAUAUAUGAUGCUGGAAAAAUGGCUUACAUAAGAUUAUUAUGUAAAUUAGUCUACAAUAAAUCCGUUUUAACAAAACUCACUGGAAAUUUAAGGGGUUGUUACAAUAUAUCAUAUAAUUCAAGGGGUUGUUAUAAUGUAUCA